rnacentral:rRNA from 1 species
AUAGCGUAUAUUAAAGUUGUUGCAGUUAAAAAGCUCGUAGUUGGAUUUUGGAUUGAGUCUAACGGUCUGCCGAAAGGUUUGCACUGUUGGGCUCUUUCUUCUUCUCGAAGACCAUGUGUGCUCUUAACUGAGUGUGCAUGGGGUUCGGGACUUUUACUGUGAGAAAAUUAGAGUGUUCAAAGCAGGCAUUUUGCUUGAAUAUUGCAGCAUGGAAUAAUGGAAUAGGAUCACGAUCUUAUUUUGUUGGUUUCUAGGAUCGAGAUAAUGAUUAAUAGGGACAGUUGGGGGCAUUAAUAUUUAAUUGUCAGAGGUGAAAUUCUUGGAUUUAUGAAAGAUUAACUUCUG